UACGGGGGGGGCAAGCGUUGUUCGGAAUUACUGGGCGUAAAGGGCUUGUAGGUGGCCAACUAAGUCAGACGUGAAAUCCCUCGGCUUAACCGGGGAACUGCGGCUGAUACUGGAUGGCUUGAGUGUGGGAGAGGGAUGCGGAAUUCCAGGUGUAGCGGUGAAAUGCGUAGAUAUCUGGAGGAACACCGGUGGCGAAGGCGGCAUCCUGGACCAUUACUGACACUGAAAAGCGAAAGCCAGGGGAGCAAACGGG
rnacentral:rRNA from 1 species